CCAGACGUGUAGAACCUGAAGGAUCCACCUGCGACAAAAUGUACAAUGACUUUAAGCAUGAGUGUAAUAGUAGACUCACUCGUUUAGCGUCAGUGAAAGCUUGCAGCGCCUUGUAUACGGAUGAGCCAUUCCUGAAAUGUCUGGCCACAAACAAGAUUAGCACCGUGUCUCUUGCUAGACUGUACAGAGAGUGUCAAACUGCACUCUGCACCAACCGCUACAUGAAAUGUAUUCACAUUGAGACAAAGAUCCGAGAUGAAUUCAACUGCCCAGUGCCCAAGGGGCUGUCAUACUGUUCCUCUUUCUUUAGCAAUUAGCAGCAUCCAUUACGCUAAUUUUCUGAACUUUGGUUGUUGCAAAUUAUAUUUCUCAUUAGAUCGAUGAAGAUAAAUUCAGAGUUUUUUUUCUGCAAUAAUGUCAAUAAAAGUUAAUGCUCAU
rnacentral:sRNA from 1 species